UAUAACACCACAAUUUUUAGAAAAACGGCCAAAUACCUAUACUUUUACAAAAGCGAUGGCGGAGGAUGUGAUUAGGAAGCAGUAAUUUCAACGUAUCGAGAACCUAUACGAGGUUGGAUCGACAAUUUAUACGGUCCAACAGGAAUUAUUCUUGGUGCUAGUAUUGGAUUGCUGCGAUCGGUUCAUUGCGAUGGUUCGAUGUCCACAAAUGUG